UGAAGACUUUCUGAAAGCAUUAAAUAUGGACAAGGCUACUCUUUGCUGAUUUAAAUAGCUCUCUGAAGACCUUAGGACAUCAGUUCUUGCCAUGGCAACACUGGUGAAAACUGUAUAUUGGCUCCAUGAAGGGGAGCAUCUUCUUCACCAACACUGGGGCCUCUGUUCUGUUAGCAUUGUGCUCUAGAGAAGAGGAACUUCUGGUUUGAGCUAGCAGCUGGAUGUCAGCUGUUGCUUGUGUCAGCUGACUCUUUUGAGAAGCAACUCAGAGAAAGGAAAGAAAAGGAAGUACCUUUCUCCCAGGCACAUGGUUGCGACUCUUUGUGACCCCAUGGACUGAAAUCUGCUAAGCUACUCCAUCCAUGAGAUUUCCCAGGCACAAGUAAUGGAGUGGCUUCCCAUUUCCUCUUCCAGAGAAUAUUCCUGCCCCAGAGGUGGAAACUGUAUCUCCUGCAUUGCAGGGUACGCAUUAUAAAGAAACUGAGGCAGACAGAUAUGAACUCAACCACGAUUACAGAGCUGGAAUAUGACUGAGUGACCCAAUUAUCAAGAGUGGAGCUGAGGAGAGAGAAUCAGGCCUGUCCUGAUGUAAGCGCUGGGAGCUUCCAUUCCCAACUCUAGGGAAAGUAGACCAAAGACAACGUCAUGGAAAGACACAGUUUCUUCAGUGGCAAUUUACAUUAAGGAAGAUAACAUGCUCUCUGCUGCUAACAAAAAUCAAGAAAGGCAUCAGACUCUUAAUUCGCAACUAGGAAAAUGAAAGCUCAGCCCAAAAGCAACUGCAUCAGCUCCUGAUGCCUCAUUAAUAAAGAAGGAAUCAUGACAAAUAUACACUCAGAACCUAUAUCAACUGACAGUAAAUUAGAAUGAGCAUUGAUGAGCACCACCUCCAGUUGAAUGACAAAAUCCCC
ensembl:lncRNA